UGCGCAGGCGGUUAUAUAAGACAGAUGUGAAAUCCCCGAGCUUAACUUGGGAACUGCAUUUGUGACUGUAUAGCUAGAGUACGGCAGAGGGGGAUGGAAUUCCGCGUGUAGCAGUGAAAUGCGUAGAUAUGCGGAGGAACACCGAUGGCGAAGGCAAUCCCCUGGGCCUGUACUGACGCUCAUGCACGAAAGCGUGGGGAGCAAACA
rnacentral:rRNA from 1 species